UACGGAGGAUCCUAGUGUUAUCCGGAUUUAUUGGGUUUAAAGGGAGCGUAGGCGGGAGGUCAAGUCAGCUGUGAAAUGUAUCUGCUUAACGGGUACACUGCAGUUGAAACUGGUUUUCUUGAGUGCGUAAGAGGCAGGCGGAAUUCGUUGUGUAGCGGUGAAAUGCUUAGAUAUUAGGAGGAACACCAGUGGCGAAGGCGGCUCUCUGGUCUGUAACUGACGCUGAGGUGCGAAAGCGUGGGGAUCAAACAGGAUUAGAUACCCCCGUAGUCCCU
rnacentral:rRNA from 1 species